rnacentral:rRNA from 1 species
GGAGGACGCUCACCACUUUGUGGUUCAUGACUGGGGUGAAGUCGUAACAAGGUAGCCCUAGGGGAACCUGGGGCUGGAUCACCUCCUUAAACGAUAGAU